rnacentral:rRNA from 1 species
AGCAGCCGCGGUAAUUCCAGCUCCAAUAGCGUAUAUUAAAGUUGUUGCAGUUAAAAGCUCGUAGUUGAAUUUCGGGAUCAAUACGUUGGUCGUGCUUUCGGGUACGUACUGGCGUCAUUGGUUUCUCUCUUCUGACGAACCAUGAUGUCAUUAAUUUGGUGUUAUGGGGAGUUAGGACUGUUACCUUGAAAAAAAUUAGAGUGUUUAAAGCAGGCUUACGCUUGAAUACAUUAGCAUGGAAUAAUGAAAUAGGACGUUUGAUCCUAUUUUGUUGGUUUCUAGGAUUGACGUAAUGAUUAAUAGGGAUAGUUGGGGGCAUUAGUAUUCAAUUGUCAGAGGUGAAAUUCUUGGAUUUAUUGAAGACUAACUACUGCGAAAGCAUUUGCCAAGGAUGUUUUCAUUAAUCAAGAACGAAAGUUAGGGGAUCGAAGACGAUCAGAUACCGUCGUAGUCUUAACCAUAAACUAUGCCGACUAGGGAUCGGAUGAUGUUAAUUUUUUAAUGACUCAUUCGGCGCCUU